rnacentral:misc_RNA from 1 species
UCUCCGUUGGUGAACCAGCGGAGGGAUCAUUACAGGACUCGCAAGACUCCUACAACCCUGUGAACUUAACUAUAAGCACGUUGCUUCGGCGGGUGUCUCGGAGGGGGUUCUCCCUCCCCGAGACGCUAAACCCGCCGGCAGCCUACUAUACUCUGUCUCUUUGCGUUGGCAUCUCGAGUACAAUCAAACAAGUUAAAACUUUCAACAAUGGAUCUCUUGGUUCUG